UUUGAAUACCGGAGGUACUUACUCCUCGACAGGUCAAUAGUCGGUGGAUGGUUAAGAAUACUAAGCGUAUGUUAAGUACGUCGCCCCGAUUAGAUCCCACUCAAUGAGUGGGAUUUUUUUAUUAA
rnacentral:ncRNA from 1 species